GAUGAACGCUGGCGGCGUGCUUAACACAUGCAAGUCGAACGGAAAGGCCCAAGCUUGCUUGGGUACUCGAGUGGCGAACGGGUGAGUAACACGUGGGUGAUCUGCCCCGCACUUCGGGAUAAGCCUGGGAAACUGGGUCUAAUACCGGAUAGGACAGUGGUUUGGAUGCCAUUGUGGAAAGUUUUUACGGUGUGGGAUGAGCUCGCGGCCUAUCAGCUUGUUGGUGGGGUAAUGGCCUACCAAGGCGUCGACGGGUAGCCGGCCUGAGAGGGUGUACGGCCACAUUGGGACUGAGAUACGGCCCAGACUCCUACGGGAGGCAGCAGUGGGGAAUAUUGCACAAUGGGCGCAAGCCUGAUGCAGCGACGCCGCGUGGGGGAGGACGGCCUUCGGGUUGUAAACUCCUUUCGCUAGGGACGAAGCGUUAUGUGACGGUACCUAGAGAAGAAGCACCGGCUAACUACGUG
rnacentral:rRNA from 1 species